rnacentral:lncRNA from 1 species
UUCAGGUAUUCUUUGGAAGCUCAUUCCUGACUGACUUCAGAACCAUGAACUCUCUCGGGAUUAAAAAAACCUAAAAGAUUAAAUAUUUCCAUGUGAAUGAGGAAUUAAAAGAAACUUCAGGGAUAAGUUCUUUAGAAUGAGAAGGAAAACUGAAAAACAAAAAGAAGGUAAUUGGCAGCUGAUCAAUAGGCACAAUCCUGAUGAGCUGCUUUGGCUGAAACUUCCUUGCAACAGGGCUCAGAGAAGAAGGAGCCAGAGGUUUGCUGACACUCAAAUCUAUCUUCAAUGAAGGCAAGCUGGCUAAUAAGUAUUUAAUGGACAGUUGUUUGCAGUUUAAUAGAAUUAGAUAAUUCUAUUAGAAUCCUGUUUGGAGACCUACAGGUAUCAUAUAUCACAGUUGAAGACAUGGUUAAUAAUUUAAGCUAAGUGACUAGUAAUUAGACAGUCAGAU